rnacentral:rRNA from 1 species
GCGAAAACUUUACAAUGCCGGCAACGGCGAUAAGGGGACCUCGAGUGCCAGGUUACAAAUCUGGCUGUCGUGAUGCCUAAAAAGCAUUUCAUAGCAAGGGCCGGGCAAGACCGGUGCCAGCCGCCGCGGUAACACCGGCGGCUCGAGUGGUAACCGUUAUUAUUGGGUCUAAAGGGUCUGUAGCCGGCCGGAUAAGUCUCUUGGGAAAUCCAGCAGCUUAACUGUUGGGCUUUCAGGAGAUACUGUCUGGCUCGAGGCCGGGAGAGGUGAGAGGUACUUCAGGGGUAGGGGUGAAAUCUUGUAAUCCUUGAAGGACCACCAGUGGCGAAGGCGUCUCACCAGAACGGACCUGACGGCAAGGGACGAAAGCUAGGGGCACGAACA